UACGAAGGGAGCUAGCGUUGUUCGAAAUCACUGGGCGUAAAGCGCACGUAGGCGGAUUUGUCAGUCAGGGGUGAAAUCCCGGGGCUCAACCUCGGAACUGCCUUUGAUACAGCAAGUCUUGAGUUCGAGAGAGGUGGGUGGAAUUCCUAGUGUAGAGGUGAAAUUCGUAGAUAUUAGGAAGAACACCGGUGGCGAAGGCGGCCCACUGGCUCGAUACUGACGCUGAGGUGCGAAAGCGUGGGGAGCAAACAGG
rnacentral:rRNA from 1 species